AUUUAAAUAUUUAAAUUUAAAUAAUAAAGAUUUUGUGUUACUAUUUUAACAACUUUAAUGUUGAUAAUAAUAACGAAUUCUAACAUAUUUAAUUUGUUCAAGAAACUUUUAAAUUCUUUUAGUUUAAAUAUUAAUUUUAGUUAAAUUAUAGAAAACCUCCCUAUCAAUAUUCGCUUUUUCAUUUUUUUCCUGUCAUUCAAAAACCUACACUUUGCUUCCUUAAAAAAUAAAAAAUCACUUCGGCCCCACCGUCAGUGUUUCGUUAGGUUUCCGUUUAUAUAUUAUAUUUUUGUACCCAAAAUACCCCUAAAACUUUCAUCCAUGUCUACACACAUGCCCUCAACCGCUGCCUCGCCCUCCGCCGUCUCGCCCUCGCCCACCUCUCUGUCCAUGCUCAGUCACACGCUCUCGCCCUCUUUCGGCGCCUUUCGGUGCUGGGAUGAGUAAGAUUGGGGAGGAGGAAAUGAAGAAGAUGAAGGUAAUUUGGUCAUUUGUCGUACCGUACCCCACUAUGAACAUUUUUUAUUUUUUCAGGGGGCAAAGUGUAGGUUUUUGAAUGACAGGACGAAAGUGAAAAAGCGGAUAUUGACAUGAGGGUUUUAUGUAAUUUAGCCAUUAGUUUUUUAUCACAAACUUUAAAAAAUUUUGAAUGUAUGUGUUAGGAAUGUUUGUAUGUUUAGCCAUUACUAUAUAUUAUAUGCUUAUAGGUUUAGUGCAGUGCAGUCUUAAGUGUAAUUUAUUUCAGUUGCUAGUGUUCUAGUAGUUUUUCCUUCUAUGGAGGAUAGUUAGUGGGGUAUGGGUAGUUACUAGCAGUAUGAAACUGUUUUUAAGUUGUAUUUAUUGGAACCUUAUGAUAGUAAAAUAUUAUCUAUGUUCUCUUAUCCAACAAAUACUAUUGUAUCUUGUUAACAAUGGAGGAAGGUUCUCCCUCGAAGAAGACCAUCAACUUGCAAGAGUUGAUUAAAGCUUGAAUCUCUCAACUUAUCUUGCAAUUCUUUCAAACAACAACCACGGGAAAGAACAAGAAGAAGUCGUCAGAUUUUUGGCUAGUUAAGCCAUCAUCGGACUUGCCGGAGUCAAUUCCAUCAGAAGCUACUCGAAGGGUUACAAGAUCCCAAUCCGUUCGUAACAUAUUGGUAUCAGAGCCAGGUUUGUCGGGGCAGGAUAAGGAUCCGCGAAUCGACCGGUUAGAAGCCGAGGUAGGCCGACUAUCCGAAAAUUUGGACAAAAUCUUUGCAGCCAUUAAUGCAAGAUUUGAUAGUUUGGAGACUCGACAAAGAGAGAGAGUUGAGUCCUCAAACAAUCAGAUGGGAAAUAGAGGCUCUAGAUUCACCGAUACUGAGGUGUCUACAAGAUCUCUAAUCCCAAAGUCUGUUAAAAUAGAUUUUCCUCGAUUCAAGGGCACUGAGGAUCCAACCAGUUGGUUAUGUAGAGCAGAAAAUUUUUUUGAGAUACAUGGAAUACUUGAAGAGGAGAAAGUGCGGAUUGCUUCUAUCAAUAUGGAAGGGGAUGCACAACUUUGGUACCAAUUAUUCAAAGAGGAGCAAGGUCUGGUCACUUGGGAGUCCUUCAAAGAAGGAUUGAAUAUUCGUUAUGGUCCAACGCAAUAUCAAGAUUUCUUUGGAGAUCUAACCAAGCUUAAGCAAAUGGGAUCAGUAAGAGAUUAUCAAACCCAAUUUGAGAGAUUGCUUAUUCGAGCAGGCACUCUAACAGCAAUACAACAAGUUGGAUGUUUUGUAAGUGGGUUGAAAGAGAGCAUUCGUACAGAUGUGCAAGCUUGUAAGCCGUCUACUCUUUCAGCGGCUAUAGGUUUAGCACGAUUAUAUGAGUCUCGUGAAUAGGCAUCUCGACGCUCUAUCCCUUCUACAACUGAUCUGAAGCGCACGCCAACUGAAAAGGAGCAAAACCAAAGUCGUUCAAUAUUACCGGUCAAAAAGCUAACACCCGCCGAGUUAAAAGAACGUAGAGAAAAGGGGCUUUGUUUUAAUUGUAAUGAGAAGUUUGGACCUGGCCAUCGAUGCCGUAAAUUAUUUUUGAUAGAAGGAAGUUGGACAGAUGAUGAAGAAGAUGAUGUCAUUGAUAAAGCAGAAUCACAAUUGCUUAAAGAAAAAACAGAGAUGCCGGAGAUUUCUCUUCACGCAAUAUAUGGAGCACGAAUGCCACAAACUAUGCGAGUCCGAGGAAGAAUUGAUCAGCAACGCAUCACAAUUUUAAUAGACUCAGGUAGCACUCAUAAUUUUCUUGAUGAUUGCAUGGCUAAAAAUUUGGGCCUUUAUCCUCAUCAUAAAGGAAAAUUUGAAGUCACUGUUGCUAAUGGAGAAAAAUUAUGUAGCAGUGGUAGGUGUAGAGACGUUUGCAUAUUAUUGAAUGGCCUUUCCAUUGUUGUUGAUCUAUAUCUGUUACCUUUAGAGGGUUGCGAUGUUGUAUUGGGUGCUCAAUGGCUUUAUACACUUGGGCCUAUUAUAUGGGAUUUCUCAAAACUUCAAAUGAAAUUUAAUUUGGAUGGAAGAGAAGUGGCAUUACAAGGAGUUUCAUCACCUGAUGAUAAAGUUGUUGGAGAAGCCAAAAUAGCAAAAGAAGUGCAAAAGCAAAAGGAGGGGAUUUUGCUACAAAUAAAUUCUCUUUCAUUACAGGAUCCAUUCGAUAAUGCCCCAUUUCUAAAUCAACUCAUCAUUAAUCCAGAUUUAGAACAAUUAAUGCAAGAAUUCACUGAUGUAUUUAGUGAACCCCAUGGAUUACCACCACCUCGUGCGCAUGAUCAUCGAAUACCAUUGAUUUCUGGAAGUGGACCAGUAUCUGUGCGGCCUUAUAGAUAUCCACAAUUAUUGAAGAAUGAAAUUGAGAGGCUUGUGACUGAUUUGCUUGUUAAUGGGGUUAUACGCCCUAGUAAUAGCCCCUAUUCCUCACCGGUAUUACUUGUCAAGAAGUCCGAUGGUUCAUGGCGUUUAUGCAUCGAUUACCGUGCACUGAACAAAAUUACAAUUAAGGAUAAGUUUCCAAUUCCGGUGAUAGAUGAGCUUCUUGAUGAGUUGUAUGGUGCGAAAUUCUUCACUAAAUUGGAUCUCCGUUCCGGCUACCAUCAGAUCCGAAUGAAUCCAGAUGACAUAUCCAAAACUGCAUUCCGCACACAUCAGGGGCAUUAUGAAUUCUUAGUUAUGCCCUUCGGCCUCACAAAUGCACCGUCAACCUUUCAAUCAUUGAUGAAUGAAAUAUUCAAAGAACAUCUCCGUAAGUUUAUUCUAGUCUUUUUUGAUGAUAUAUUAAUUUAUAGCAAGACUUGGUUGGAGCAUCUUGAACAUUUGAAAAUCACUCUACUUAUUUUACGUGCUCAUCAAUUAUAUGCAAAGAAAGAAAAGUGCAGUUUUGGGCAAAAAGAAGUCAAGUAUCUUGGUCAUAUAAUCUCUCACAAUGGUGUAGCAGUUGAUCCAGAAAAAAUUUCAGCAAUGAUAGAAUGGCCAAAACCAUUAACCAUCAAAGCACUUCGUGGAUUCUUAGGCCUAACAGGAUAUUACCGGAAAUUUAUUCAAAACUACGGCAAGAUAGCUGCUCCUCUCACUAAUAUGCUCAAGAAGGAUGCUUUCAAAUGGGAUUCACGAGCAGAGGCGGCUUUCGACGAAUUAAAACAUGCAAUGACGGAUGCUCCGGUACUCUCUUUACCAGAUUUUUCUAAGCCUUUUAUAGUUGAAUGUGAUGCUUCUGGUAUAGGUAUUGGAGCAGUUUUAAUGCAGGAAAAUAGGCCCAUUGCGUUCUUUAGUCAUGCUUUAAAGGGAAAAAAUUUGUUACUAUCAACUUAUGAAAAGGAAAUGCUUGCACUUGUAUUAGCUGUGCAAAAAUGGAGGCCAUAUUUAUUGGGUCGAUUCUUCAUUGUACGUACAGACCAGAGGAGCUUAAAAUUUUUAUGGGAGCAAAAGAUAACAACUGUGAUGCAACAAAGGUGGUUGGCAAAAUUAAUGGGUUAUGACUUUAUCAUUGAAUAUAAAAGAGGAGUGGAAAAUAAAGUUGCAGAUGCUUUAUCUCGUAGGGAUGAAGAAUCAAAUUUAUAUGCAAUCUCUAGGCCUAUUCCAAAUUGGCUUGAACCCAUCAGAGAAGACAUCCAAACUAUACCAGAGCUUCAAGCAUUAGUUGAGAAGUGCAAAAAAGGUGAAGCUUUGGGUCUAUGGGAGUACAUCGAUGGAAUUCUUUUCUUCAAAAAUCGGAUCUAUUUGCACCCUAAAUCUUCAUUAAAAAAUACCAUUCUUGCUGAAUUACAUGGGAGUACUCAUGAAGGGUAUCAUAAAACAUUGCAUCGAGUUCGAUCAAUGUUUUACUGGCAAGGAAUGCGGAAAAACAUCAAAGAGCAUAUUAAGACUUGUGAUACUUGUCAACGGAACAAAGGGGAAAAUACAUCUCCAGCUGGAUUAUUACAACCACUUCCUAUUCCCUCUAAGGUAUGGAGUGACAUUUCUAUGGAUUUCAUUGAUAGCCUUCCAAAUUCAAAGGGCAAAAGUGUUAUAUUUGUAGUUGUGGAUCGACUUUCUAAAUAUUCACAUUUUAUUCCAAUCUCUCACCCGUACACAGCGACCAUUGUUGCUCAAGUCUUCUUUGAAAAUAUUUUCAAAUUAUAUGGAAUGCCGGAAACUAUUGUAUGUGAUAGAGAUAAAGUAUUUACAAGUUUGUUUUGGAAGGAAUUAUUCCGUUUACAGGGAACUCAUUUUAAUUUUAGCUCUUCAUACCACCCUCAAACGGAUGGGCAAACUGAAGUAGUUAAUCGAACUUUGGAGAUGUAUCUACGUUGUUUCACGAGUAACAAGCCAAAGGAAUGGGUGAAAUGGAUUCCAUGGGCUGAAUAUUGUUACAAUACAAGCAAACACUCAUCAACAAAAAGAACACCAUAUGAGGUGUUAUAUGGCCGAGAACCACCUACUCUUUUGUCGUACGUAAGCGGCACAACAAAAAUUGCAGCAGUUGAUAUGUUAUUAAAGGAAAGAGAAUAUAUCAUGAAGGAUUUAGCACAUCAACUGGCAGAAGCACAGAAUCGUAUGAAAAAAAUCUAUGAUGCACAUCACACUGAUCGAGAGUUCCAAGUGGGUGAUUUUGUCUAUCUAAGGCUUCAACCUUAUCGGCAAGUUUCGCUCUCUCUUCGCAAAAAUUUAAAACUUUCACCGAAAUUUUAUGGGCCAUAUGAAGUGCUCAAACAUAUAGGGGCAGUUGCAUAUGAGCUUAAGUUACCACCUGAGUCGAAACUCCAUCCAGUAUUUCAUGUUUCAUGCCUGAAGAAGAAACUUGGUGAUCAUCAAUCGGCUCAAGACACCCUUCCUAUCGUUCCAACAACAGAAGAUUCAGUUGUACCAUUACCUCAAGCUAUUCUAGAUCAACGAAUCCGUAAGGGUAAGAAGGAAGUCUUAAUCCAUUGGCAGGGGCUCUCACCAGUUGAUGCAACAUGGGAAAAUUUAGACGAGAUGAAAAUUCGGUUUCCUGAAUCAGUCCUUGAGGACAAGGACGCUUUUUAGGGGGAAGGAAUGUUAGGAAUGUUUGUAUGUUUAGCCAUUACUAUAUAUUAUAUGCUUAUAGGUUUAGUGCAGUGCAGUCUUAAGUGUAAUUUAUUUCAGUUGCUAGUGUUCUAGUAGUUUUUCCUUCUAUGGAGGAUAGUUAGUGGGGUAUGGGUAGUUACUAGCAGUAUGAAACUGUUUUUAAGUUGUAUUUAUUGGAACCUUAUGAUAGUAAAAUAUUAUCUAUGUUCUCUUAUCCAACAAAUACUAUUGUAUCUUGUUAACAAUGGAGGAAGGUUCUCCCUCGAAGAAGACCAUCAACUUGCAAGAGUUGAUUAAAGCUUGAAUCUCUCAACUUAUCUUGCAAUUCUUUCAAACAACAACCACGGGAAAGAACAAGAAGAAGUCGUCAGAUUUUUGGCUAGUUAAGCCAUCAUCGGACUUGCCGGAGUCAAUUCCAUCAGAAGCUACUCGAAGGGUUACAAGAUCCCAAUCCGUUCGUAACAGUAUGUAAAAAAAAUUAAAUUUACAUAUUUAAUAUAUUGUAAUAGUUAUUAAUAAAAUAUUUGUGGAUUCGGGAUAUGAAAUGACAAGAUAUCUGUGGAUUAUAGAUGUCAAUGGGUACCUACUACCUAGUAACCGGUUUCUCUCUCAAAGAGAUAUGUUAUUGCAUAUCACAAUUUAAAAAAAAUUAAAUUUGAACCAUUGAAUAAAAAUGAACGAAUGAUAUCGAAAAUAACAAGUAUAGGAGCAUUACUCUUAAAAAUAAGGGUAAACUUCAAACUGCCCAUAGGUGGUUUAGCUUAUUUUUAUUUUAUUAUUCUGUGAUUCAAAAAUUUUAUUUUAAUUUUUAAUUAUGGUUUGAUUUUUAUUUUAUCUAAAAAAUCUAUACAAUUUAUAAAAGAGUGAGUUUUAAAUUUUUUUUUUCUUUUCCAAAAUACCACUCCCUAUUAAUAUAAUUUCAAUCACAUACUAACAAUAUCAUUCAUUUAAUUUUUAUAGUAUAAAUCACAGCCGUACAAUUUUUAUUUUAUUUUAAAAUUAUUAUAAAUAUAUUAAUUCUUAGUUAUUGGAUCUAAUUUAGUGACCGACGAAUUAAGUAUUUGUCACUCUUUUCAUCUAAAUUGCCCUAAGGUAGUACGUAUCAAAUCCCACCUUUUAUAUGCGUAUCCUAUCUCCUAAUAAUCGCCGCCUACAUAAUAUUUAUAUUAUAUCUUAUCUAAUAAUUAUCUAACAAUAAUUCCUUUUACACUUCAUACUUAUCUAUAUUAUAUAAAAACAUAUAAAAAAUUUUAUAAUCACAAACGGAAUUAAAAAAGAAAUAAAAAAAAUAUUUUCUACCAACGGUUAUGAUUAAUUUGUUAAAAAAUAUUACAAAUAAAAACGAAUAGUUAU
rnacentral:lncRNA from 1 species